rnacentral:piRNA from 1 species
UGGGUGUUGGUCAUUGUUUUC